rnacentral:rRNA from 1 species
CUCCUACGGGAGGCAGCAGUGGGGAAUAUUGCACAAUGGGCGGAAGCCUGAUGCAGCAACGCCGCGUGCGGGAUGACGGCCUUCGGGUUGUAAACCGCCUUCGCCUGUGACGAAGCGUGAGUGACGGUAAUGGGUAAAGAAGCACCGGCUAACUACGUGCCAGCAGCCGCGGUGAUACGUAGGGUGCGAGCGUUGUCCGGAUUUAUUGGGCGUAAAGGGCUCGUAGGUGGUUGAUCGCGUCGGAAGUGUAAUCUUGGGGCUUAACCCUGAGCGUGCUUUCGAUACGGGUUGACUUGAGGAAGGUAGGGGAGAAUGGAAUUCCUGGUGGAGCGGUGGAAUGCGCAGAUAUCAGGAGGAACACCAGUGGCGAAGGCGGUUCUCUGGGCCUUUCCUGACGCUGAGGAGCGAAAGCGUGGGGAGCGAACAGGCUUAGAUACCCUGGUAGUCCACGCUGUAAACGGUGGGUACUAGGUGUGGGGUCCAUUCCACGGGUUCCGUGCCGUAGCUAACGCUUUAAGUACCCCGCCUGGGG